rnacentral:rRNA from 1 species
GGCGUAAGCGUGCGUAGGCGGCUGAUUAAGUCGGAUGUGAAAUCCCUGAGCUUAACUUAGGAAUUGCAUUCGAUACUGGUCAGCUAGAGUAUGGGAGAGGAUGGUAGAAUUCCAGGUGUAGCGGUGAAAUGCGUAGAGAUCUGGAGGAAUACCGAUGGCGAAGGCAGCCAUCUGGCCUAAUACUGACGCUGAGGUACGAAAGCAUGGGGAGCAAACAGGAUUAGAUACCCUGGUAGUCCAUGCCGUAAACGAUGUCUACUAGCCGUUGGGGCCUUUGAGGCUUUAGUGGCGCAGCUAACGCGAUAAGUAGACCGCCUGGGGAGUACGGUCGCAAGACUAAAACUCAAAUGAAUUGACGGGGGCCCGCACAAGCGGUGGAGCAUGUGGUUUAAUUCGAUGCAACGCGAAGAACCUUACCUGGCCUUGACAUAGUAAGAACUUUCCAGAGAUGGAUUGGUGCCUUCGGGAACUUACAUACAGGUGCUGCAUGGCUGUCGUCAGCUCGUGUCGUGAGAUGUUGGGUUAAGUCCCGCAACGAGCGCAACCCUUUUCCUUAUUUGCCAGCGAGUAAUGUCGGGAACUUUAAGGAUACUGCCAGUGACAAACUGGAGGAAGGCGGGGACGACGUCAAGUCAUCAUGGCCCUUACGGCCAGGGGCUACACACGUGCUACAAUGGUCGGUACAAAGGGUUGCUACCUAGCGAUAGGAUGCUAAUCUCAAAAAGCCGAUCGUAGUCCGGGAUUGGAGUCUGCAACUCGACUCCCAUGAAGUCGGAAUCGCUAGUAAUCGCGGAUCAGAAUGCCGCGGUGAAUACGUUUCCCGGCCUUGUACACACCGCCCGUCACACCAUGGGAGUUUGUUGCACCAGAGUAGGGUAGUCUAACCGCAGGAGGACGCUACCACGGUGUGGCCGAUGACUGGGGUGAAGUCUACCAAGGUG